CAAUAGCGUAUAUUUAAGUUGUUGCAGUUAAAAAGCUCGUAGUUGGAUUUCGGUUAAGAGCGACCGGUCCGCCGUUUGGUGUGCACUGGUUGGUUUUAACUUCCUGUAGAGGACGUGCUCUGGGUUUAACGACCUGGACUCGGAGUCUACGUGGUUACUUUGAAAAAAUUAGAGUGUUCAAAGCGGGCUUACGCUUGAAUAUUUCAGCAUGGAAUAACACUAUAGGACUCCUGUCCUAUUUCGUUGGUCUCGGGACGGGAGUAAUGAUUAAGCGGAACAGUUGGGGGCAUUCGUAUUUCAUUGUCAGAGGUGAAAUUCUUGGAUUUAUGAAAGACGAACUUCUGCGAAAGCAUUUGCCAAGGAUGUUUNCAUUAA
rnacentral:rRNA from 1 species